GGUGUGCAGCAGUGAGUGCCAGUUUGAAUGAAGGAAGCAUGUGUGGCCUGAGGCCUCACCGUGUUCCAGGCGUCCAGUUAAGUGCUCUGCACAUAAUAUCGCACAUUGCGCUCCAUGAUAAAUAAGGAAAUUGUGUGUAAGGCAUCAUGAUUCAAAUCAAUUCACACUGGGAAAGAAAAAUGCCAAAGAAAACAUUUUAUUCUAUACACAAAAAGGUUUUCUCAGCAUGUUUUAUCAACAUAAUCAUCGUCACAUUAUCAUCAUUAAGACAUGAAAGAGGAGGGUACAAUGGAGAGGCUCUCCUUCCCUCCUCAGUCACUCAAGAACGUGAUGGUAAAUGGGGUUUUAAGCUGUGUUUUGCUCCACGUUUAAUCGUGUUUCCUUUCUUGAAUAAUCACAAGAUGCUACAGUGUUAGAAAGAAUAUUAGAGAGAAUCUAGCUCAGCCAGUUUCCUCGUGACACCCAGAAGUCUGAGAUCACUUCCCCUGGUCGUAAAGUGUGGGUUGACGUAGAUUCCCAGCAUAAUAUGAAGAAAAUCUAUAAAAGAAAAAUUCCAGUGAAAGAUUAAAAUACUGGAGUCAACUCACGUUGGAGCAAAAAUCAGUGGCUGCGUAUUUGCCUGAGAGGGUCCAGCUCCUGCUGCGGUCUCACGUCAUAGUUCAUCAUGCCUCCCUUGCUGUCCCUAGAAGGUCCCAGUUUGGACAACAAUCGUGUACUCAUGUGAUCUCCCCAGAGACAAAGGACUGAGCAGGCUUGCAUGGGGGUCAAGGAAGGAAAGGACAGGAGAGGUGACCAAGAGCAGGGGCCCAGGGUCACCUUCUCCCCAAAAGCUGACUCUAAAGUGGUGAAGGCACAAGAUGCAUUCUGCAGCAGCCACUGACUUGGUGAUGUGUAUCUUGACAGGACUUGGUGUUUACACAGCAUCCAGGAGCUCCCCAUCUAAGCCCCUUUGACAGCCUCCAUGUGAGCAUCUCCCAUCUCCCCAGUACGCUGCCGGCACCUCCACACUGCCCUGUCCAUCUCCAGCCAUUCUCAGCUUUGCUAACAUUUCAUGAAAAAACACCUUCUUUCUCUUUGAGCCAUGGUCUUUUUCCUUAAUUAUACCAGAGCACCUCUCAGGUCAACUAGUCUAAGCAUGUCCAGAGACAUCCCAGCCUUCUUUCAGCAUCACUUGUGGAGAAUCUGCAGCCAAAGUCAGUGUCCAACAGAGACCCUACGUCUGGCCCUGUCAAGCAAGAUCACAUUUCUCCCCGACUCUCAGGAAAGGCCCACAUGGAUCCCACAGACUUCCAGAAUCCUCAGCCCUCAUUUCCUGGAUUCCAAAGACCCACCAACCCAAUCACCCAAAUUUUUCUCUACAGCUUUGCACGUGCAGCUCAGGUGUGUGUUUCUCUGUGUGUGUGUGUGUGUGCAUGUGCACCCGUGCACGUGUGUAUAGGAGUUGGGGAAUAAAAUAGAAACCUCAGAUAACACAUUCUGAAGUCAUCCCUUCACCAUCAUCUCUCAUAUGUUUUUGUUUUUCGGC
rnacentral:lncRNA from 1 species